AGUCGAGCGAAGCGCUUAUGAAAGAUUCUUCGGAUGAAUUCAUUUGUGACUGAGCGGCGGACGGGUGAGUAACGCGUGGGUAACCUGCCUUAUACAGGGGGAUAACAGUUGGAAACGGCUGCUAAUACCGCAUAAGCGCACAGCAUCGCAUGAUGCAGUGUGAAAAACUCCGGUGGUAUAAGAUGGACCCGCGUUGGAUUAGCUAGUUGGUGAGGUAACGGCCCACCAAGGCGACGAUCCAUAGCCGACCUGAGAGGGUGACCGGCCACAUUGGGACUGAGACACGGCCCAAACUCCUACGGGAGGCAGCAGUGGGGAAUAUUGCACAAUGGGCGAAAGCCUGAUGCAGCGACGCCGCGUGAGCGAAGAAGUAUUUCGGUAUGUAAAGCUCUAUCAGCAGGGAAGAUAAUGACGGUACCUGACUAAGAAGCACCGGCUAAAUACGUGCCAGCAGCCGCGGUAAUACGUAUGGUGCAAGCGUUAUCCGGAUUUACUGGGUGUAAAGGGAGCGCAGGCGGUGCGGCAAGUCUGAUGUGAAAGCCCGGGGCUCAACCCCGGUACUGCAUUGGAAACUGUCGUACUAGAGUGUCGGAGGGGUAAGCGGAAUUCCUAGUGUAGCGGUGAAAUGCGUAGAUAUUAGGAGGAACACCAGUGGCGAAGGCGGCUUACUGGACGAUAACUGACGCUGAGGCUCGAAAGCGUGGGGAGCAAACAGGA
rnacentral:rRNA from 1 species